rnacentral:ncRNA from 1 species
GGUUGCCGUAUCGGCACUAACAGGGAAUCCGGUGAAAGACCGGAACAGCUCACUCUACCGUGAAUAGUACGAAAACACAUUAUGUCACUGAAAUAUUCAUUUCGGGAAGGCGUGUAAGUAGGUUAUAAGCUACAAGUCGGGAGACCUGCCGCAGUUU